rnacentral:rRNA from 1 species
CCCUUAGAUGUCCUGGGCCGCACGCGCGUUACACUGAUGCAUUCAACGAGCUUAUAACCUUGGCCGAGAGGCCUGGGCAAUCUUGUUAACGUGCAUCGUGAUAGGGAUAGAUUAUUGAAAUUAUUAAUCUUGAACGAGGAAUUCCUAGUAAACGCAGAUCAUCAAUCUGCAUUGAUUACGUCCCUGCCCUUUGUACACACCGCCCGUCGCACCUACCGAUUGGAUGGUCCGGUGAAAUCUCGGGACGGCGGCUUGGUCGCUUGCGUCCGACUGCUGAAACUUGAUUAAACCAUAUCAUUUAGAGGAAGGUGAAGUCGUAACA